UACGAAGGGGGCUAGCGUUGCUCGGAAUCACUGGGCGUAAAGCGCACGUAGGCGGAUUGCUAAGUCAGGGGUGAAAUCCUGGAGCUCAACUCCAGAACUGCCUUUGAUACUGGCGACCUUGAGUCCGGGAGAGGUGAGUGGGACUGCGAGUGUAGAGGUGAAAUUCGUAGAUAUUCGCAAGAACACCAGUGGCGAAGGCGGCUCACUGGCCCGGUACUGACGCUGAGGUGCGAAAGCGUGGGGAGCAAACAGG
rnacentral:rRNA from 1 species